rnacentral:rRNA from 1 species
UAGCGUUGUUCGGAAUUACUGGGCGUAAAGCGCACGUAGGCGGAUAUUUAAGUCAGGGGUGAAAUCCCAGAGCUCAACUCUGGAACUGCCUUUGAUACUGGGUAUCUUGAGUAUGGAAGAGGUAAGUGGAAUUGCGAGUGUAGAGGUGAAAUUCGUAGAUAUUCGCAGGAACACCAGUGGCGAAGGCGGCUUACUGGUCCAUUACUGACGCUGAGGUGCGAAAGCGUGGGGAGCAAACAGG